rnacentral:rRNA from 1 species
AGAAGUCCACUGAACCUUAUCAUUUAGAGGAAGGANNAGUCGUAACAAGGUUUCCGUAGGUGAACCUGCGGAAGGAUCAUUGUCGA